rnacentral:rRNA from 1 species
CACGUAGGGGGCGAGCGUUGUCCGGAUUUAUUGGGCGUAAAGAGCUCGUAGGCGGCUCGGUAAGUCAACUGUGAAAGCUCCGGGCUCAACUCGGAGAGGCCAGUUGAUACUGCCGUGGCUAGAGUCCGGUAGGGGAGCGUGGAAUUCCUGGUGUAGCGGUGAAAUGCGCAGAUAUCAGUAGGAACACCAGCGGCGAAGGCGGCGCUCUGGGCCGGAACUGACGCUGAGGAGCGAAAGCCAGGGGAGCAAACGGG